rnacentral:rRNA from 1 species
CAGUAGCCGCGGGAAAACAGAGGGUGCGAGCGUUAAUCGGAUUUACUGGGCGUAAAGCGUGCGUAGGCGGCUUCUUAAGUCGGAUGUGAAAUCCCUGAGCUUAACUUAGGAAUUGCAUUCGAUACUGGGAAGCUAGAGUAUGGGAGAGGAUGGUAGAAUUCCAGGUGUAGCGGUGAAAUGCGUAGAGAUCUGGAGGAAUACCGAUGGCGAAGGCAGCCAUCUGGCCUAAUACUGACGCUGAGGUACGAAAGCAUGGGGAGCAAACAGGAUUAGAUACCCCAGUAGUCCCUGUCUCUUAUAU